GUCCACGCCGUAAACGAUGAGUGCUAGGUGUCACGAGCUUUGACCCUCGUGGUGCCGAAGCUAACGCGUUAAGCACUCCGCCUGGGGAGUACGGCCGCAAGGCUAAAACUCAAAGGAAUUGACGGGGGCCCGCACAAGCGGUGGAGCAUGUGGUUUAAUUCGACGCAACGCGCAAAACCUUACCUGGGCUAGAAAUAACAAGAAGCUGGUCGAAAGAUCGGGGUGCCCUUCGGGGAACUUGUUGUUAGGUGCUGCAUGGCUGUCGU
rnacentral:rRNA from 1 species